AAAAGACGCGAGACGCGAGCGUAACGGUCAUGCGCGUCCGUCAAGCGCGUGUUUACAUAGAAAAACAAUGGGAAAGUAGCGCAUUGGAAUAGAAAAACGCGUUCUGUGUGAACGGCCCCUUAGUGGGUAAACAGAACUCUGAGCAAAGGGGCAAAAAGCAAUUCCAGAUUUGAGCAAUUUCCACAUUGAUCGUUACUCACCCAUAAUGUCCUGUUCUGGUAAUUAAUAUGGGCUUUAUGAGCUCACACUUAGUUUAAUCCAUCUGGUCAUUUACAUCUGUUAGCGUUAUAUGGUCUGAAGCUGAUUCAUUUUGAGACAUCUGAGAUGCAUCUGAAGACCAAGAACAACAAACAUGUUCCAACCUGUUUCACUGUGACUCAUAAAUGUAAUUUGCGAAUAAAAUUAUCACUUUCACUUUGUGCUUCCUUUGAAGGCUGAAUAUUUAUCCUGGAGACUCUAAAACAUUCCUUCUGAUGGACUGCUAGACCAGUGCAUUGUUACCAGAUCUUGCUGGAAAAACAAGCAAUUAGCCAAAAAGGGAAUUCCCCUGUGAAAGAAUUCAUCUGAAAGAAUUUUAAUCACAGAAAGAAGAAAACAUGGAAGACCUUUGGCCCAGUUCUUGUUUUUUUUUUGUUUUUUUUUGUUCUGAGUUUCUUUUUAAUCAGAAUAUUUGAUGCCGUAACUUUAUCAGUCCCUCCGGGAUUUCACGGGACUUUCUUCUGAUUUUUGCAGCCUAAAAUGACUGAAUUUGUGGCGGCUAGACUCAAAAUUUGUGGCAAUAUUUGCGGCAUUUCUUGUGUAGUUUUUCAGUGAAUAAAAUACA